UACAGAGGGUGCGAGCGUUAAUCGGAAUUACUGGGCGUAAAGCGCGCGUAGACGGUUUUGUAAGUCAGAUGUGAAAUCCCUGGGCUCAACCUGGGAACUGCAUUUGAGACUGCAUGGCUAGAGUAUGGAAGAGGGAAGUGGAAUUUCCGGUGUAGCGGUGAAAUGCGUAGAUAUCGGAAGGAACACCAGUGGCGAAAGCGACUUCCUGAUCCAAUACUGACGUUCAUGUGCGAAAGCGUGGGGAGCAAACAGG
rnacentral:rRNA from 1 species